rnacentral:rRNA from 1 species
GACGUAGGGCGCGAGCGUUGUCCGGAUUUAUUGGGCGUAAAGAGCUCGUAGGCGGCUUGUCGCGUCGUCCGUGAAAACCCACAGCUCAACUGUGGGCUUGCGGUCGAUACGGGCAGGCUAGAGUUCGGUAGGGGAGACUGGAAUUCCUGGUGUAGCGGUGAAAUGCGCAGAUAUCAGGAGGAACACCAGUGGCGAAGGCGGCUCACUGGCCCGGUACUGACGCUGAGGCGCGAAAGCGUGGGGAGCAAACAGG